GAUGGUGGCACAUAUGGUCAUAGCUCUCAUAAACCGAAGUACACGAUUGAAUUCCAUCCAGAAGAUUCUCCUUUUCAUCCUGAUAAUGACUAGAAAUCUAUAGUCACGCCGGAUAAAAAUGGACAGAAAUUUAUAUGCUUCUUGCCUAAGGUGGAAAAGGAAAAAAGUGGAAGGCCAGUUAUCCAGCACAAUAUUAGCAGCAUGAUUGUUGAAUAUGAGAAAAGGGUUCAAUUAAAGAGACCUGAUGUUUUGUUGGAAGUAUUAAAGGAUCGAUGCUUUAUCAGACAAGAGGGUUAGUGGUCAUUUGAAUUUUGCUAUCAAAAGAAGUUGCGGCAACAUGUGGAGGAUGUUAAGAUAAGCUUUAUUCCUUCAUUCUAUUUAUAUUAACUAAUCAAUUCUUUUCCUCCUGACUAGCCGUAGGGGACAAUGAAUUUGUGACAGGAAUUAAAUAAAUAAACAAGUGUAAAUUAAUUCAAUCACAGUUGCAUGAGAACUUAGUUUUUAAGAGUUAUUUUAUUAACUAGUUAGAUCAGAUCAAUACAAUGGAAUUAUAUUUUUUAGCUUAACAUUCACUAAACAGAUUCAAUCAUAUUACUUGCGGUGAUUCUUGAGAGUAGAAGCUUGCUAUUCAUACCAACCAAGCCUGUUAUUAUAUCAAUUUUCCUACAAGACGUUAACAUCUGUUCACGAUGUUCUUUUAGCAGUAUGCAUUUGUAUUGUCAUCAACUUUCUUUUAAGGUACCCUGGUUCAUAUAUAGUUUUCAAAUUCUGUAGCUCUUCAAUUUGCCAACUUUAAUUCUGAGCUCACUUGUCACUAGAUUUGGGUACUUCCUGUUCUGCAGAUAGCUUCAAUAACCUGUGUGCUUAAUCCUUGGAUAAUAGCCGUAAUCUUAUGCUGUCUGGUGAAAUAUCUAGAUUUGAACUGAAAUUGGUCAUUUAUGCUAUUAUUGUAAACUCCUGUGCCUUGAUCUUGCUGAAAACUUUUGAGUUGCUUGUAGACGCUGAUUCUACUGUCAAAGUAUUGAUUUUGAGCUAUUGUGUUUGCUGUCACAAGUGUGAAAUUUUUGAGAUUUGAGUUACCUAAUCAUUUAAAUCUAAUUAUGUUAUCGUUUCUCAUUUUGUCUGCCAUAAAACUGCAUGACUAGUCGUUCAUUGAAGGGUUAAAGCACCUCGAAUCAUUAAUUGUCAUGUUGUUUUGUUAGAUCACAUACGGGCACCAUCUUUAGAAAAAAGAAGAUAAAGUUUCCUCCAUUCUCUUCUAGUUGAUUGAGUGUCAUCUUAAAUCUAUGCAGACUUGUUUUCAAGUAUAACUUGCUGGAAUUUGUUUGUAACUUUUCAGAUUUGAAUCCAAACCCUUUUUCUUGAAAAAUUUCAUGAUUUUUUUUGGCAAAAGCUUUUGAUUUGUUGCUGGAAGUAAGUGCUACUUGGACAUUGAUUGAAAUUUUUUGAACAAGGCUUGAUACUUGCAAAGCACGCACAAGUAACAAGGCACUAUAAUUUUGAAGUAUGUCUUGUUCAUUUCAUUAUUAAUUCAUUUGAACCAUUCUGAUGCAAUGCAAAAAGGUAAUUAAGGAUUGAUGUCGGAUUAUUUUUGUUUUGUGCAGAUGAAGUUACAAAACUUGACAAGGUCGUCUCAAAGAAAGAGCAUAGUGAAGCUAUUGGUUUAGUCUUUAGUUGAAUGUAUUGAUUUCUUAUGUAUUUCUCCUAUUUGUAUGAACACCUUCUGUUUGACGAUUAUCUAGAUUAGCACCUAGAGCUGGUAGGUUGCUACACAUUUUUCUUUCAAGGGUUCCAAAGUGUUAUUGUCAGGAUAGAAGAGCAUCUAAUUGGAUUUCAUAUGAAUGACCCAAUUGGAGUUUUGACAAUUGUGAUAGUUUUGACAAUUAUGAAUUCAGUGUAAUUAUUUUUGAUUAA